rnacentral:rRNA from 1 species
UACGGGGGGAGCAAGCGUUGUUCGGAUUUACUGGGCGUAAAGGGCGCGUAGGCGGCCUGUGCAAGUCAGUUGUGAAAUCUCCGGGCUUAACUCGGAAAGGUCAACUGAUACUGCUCGGCUAGAGUGCGGAAGGGGCAACUGGAAUUCUUGGUGUAGCGGUGAAAUGCGUAGAUAUCAAGAGGAACACCUGCGGCGAAGGCGGGUUGCUGGGCCGACACUGACGCUGAAGUGCGAAAGCCAGGGGAGCGAACGGG